AGCAGAGAGAGAGGGAGACAACAGAAUCCGAAGCAGGCUCUAAUCUCUGAGCUGUCAGCAUAGAGCCCAAGAUGAGGCUCAAACCCACGAACCGGGAGAUCACGACCUGAGCCGAAGUCAGACGCUUAAUCAACUGAGCCACCCAGGCACCCCGAAUCUGUAAAUGUUUUUUAGGAAAUAAAAACCUAGGACUAUAUUCCUGUACUUUCUCUCCAUUGUUAAUUUUGUUUCUGGAGCAGCAGGCUCCCAGUGGAAACCUGACACCUCAUGCUACAUAUAUUUUAAUUUAAAAUGAAUCUUUGGACGUGUAGCCCUUUGCCAAGGACAAUCAUUGAAUUUAGAAAAAGGACUUUGGUUCUUAACUUUUACAAGCUUAGAGACUGAAGCAAGAGUCUCCACAUGGAUCCAGCUGUUCCAGCUUUAUAGAGCCAAAGUGAUCCAAAGCCAUGAUUUUAUCAGUUUCAUUGUUAUUCAUGUUUAUGUAACAGAAACAUAUCUUCUGAAUUUUGCUGAAACUUUCAAUUUUUGUUAAUCUGUUCAAUAGUCAUAUAAUUUUAGGCUCUGUUUUGCAUGUAUAGAUACAUGAGUAAGUAAGAGUUGACCCUUCCUUACAACAUAAUCCGUCUUCUCUUUUCUCCGGUCUCGUUACCUAGGCUACUCCUUCUGACUGUCAAUCCAGCUUUCUGCAGCAGUCACUUCAUCUAGUGAACAGUGACUUCUUUAAGUGUCAGUUUCUCCAUGCAGCAAAUGUCCUAACAGUGCCUACUUCGUGGCGUUGGGUGGUUCAAGAUUAAAUAUGGUAAUGCAUACAAAACCCUUGACAGAAUGCCUGAUGACAAAUGUUUGCUGUUUUAAUGAUCAAUUCUGCUGACUUUAAUGUUCUACGGGUCAGAGACGGGAACUGAGGACAACAGUUUCCAACAGGAAGACCCUACUAAAAGGGCAGAUCGAAAAGCUCAGUGCCCUGAUUGUCCUCCAGCAGGGACGGGUUGUUGCAGUUCUUCAGAAUUAGGGAGUUGGAGCAGUUUUUGUUUGUUCAAGGAUGGAUUGAGAUGAUCCCCACCCCAACUCUCUCUCUCUUUCUGGAUCUCUGUUCUCUGCUAAGAUCGAAAUUGGGACUUUCAUUUUUCUUACGAAAAAUUGGAGGUGGUCAUCAAGGUACCUCUCAAUUUUUCUAACUUCUCUCCUUUUAUCUGGGAAAGACACAAUUAUUCUCCUCUUCUGGGCAUGACAGGGCAGGCUGUGAGAGUCCAGUAGGCUGUGGGCUUCCCUCUUAGUCCAAGUGUGAUAUUUUAAAAUAUUGUCCAGUCCUGUAGUCUCAACCCGGUGGAGCCUGGGGGUCUCUUUCAUUUUGCUUUCAGUCGGCCUGAAAACAAGUAAAUAACAUCAAACCCACAAAGGUACCACGUCAAAACGUGUCCCUCCUACUUGGGCCCAGUCCUUCUCCAUCCUUUCUUACAAGGUCUUCCCUAAAAUGAUGGUCCAGUAAGCUCUAUCCAUCAUGUGAGCCACCAACACCAUUACCAGGUAAACAACUUUCUCUUUCUUCAUGACACAAAGAAGCAGCUAUCUUCCCCUCCACAUCCCAACCAAGCCUCAAUUUACCCUCUUGUGUAAAGCCUCUUGUAUCUCCCCAUAUAUAGCUUUUAGGGAUGGUUCAGGCUGUCAUCUGUUGCCUUCCGCUUCUGCUUUCAGAAGACACUACUGCUUGAACCUGACCUUUGACUGAAUCUCAGCUGGGUCUUCCAGGUUCACAUACGUUAUUCCUGCUUCAUUCUCAGUUUCCCUUCCCUUUCAUGCUCCACCUACCUAUGCAUUACAUUGUUCUGGCACUUGCAAGCCAACUUAGAAUUCUCAGACAUCUUUGGUGUAGUUUUAGCAAUAAGCCUCUUCCUUCCAAGUUACCCGUCGCUGAGAAUAGCACCCACCUCUCUGAUCCUGAGAAAGUCCCCUCUAAUUAUUUUAUUUGUUUGUGUGGUAGGACUGGGAACCAUUGAGGGAGAAAGCCUGCACCUCCGAAAACAUCUCUUCUGGAGACCCAGCAAGUAUCCUUUCCAAGAAUUUGAGAUGCUGUGUUGUAUCAGCAGCAAGUUUAGGGCUUCACACAUGGGGAUAAAAAUUGCUGGUACCUAUUUGGACUUUUUUCUGCUCUGCGCCUAAUGAUAAGAUUCUCGGAAGGCCACUCUCUUCUUGGAGCUCUUUGCCCACUUAAAAUGAACAAAUUAUGAUGAUGUGCUUCAUGUCCAUCUUCCUUUUUGGACCACAGAUCCUGUGACGGAAGAAAUUGUGUGCCUUUUGUGCAUUCCUGGGUCCUGCUCCUUGUGGAGCCUGGCCCAAAUAUUUCUUGAUUAACCAUUAGCAGAAGCCGUAUUUCUGAUUCUGUGUAAAUGGACAGAGAAGUGGUAAGGAAGGAGAGGUUAAAAGAGAAAUGGAUCCCCUAAAAAAGUAGGUUACUUUAUCAAGUAUCCUAGGUUGAGAGAGAAGCAGAGUCAACCUCAGGUCUGAAUUUGUGCUCUUCCUCGAAGGGACCUGCCUUGUACCGGGUACUGAACCUUAUGAAAGGCUCGGAUAGGUGACAUAAUAAAAAUCAUAAAGUGCAAAUCAGCUCUUUUCUGUGAUGGCAAUGCUAUAGCCCCGUAAAAUAGACAUCCUCUGAAUUAUUUUGGAUUAUCUUCUGUUUAAAUGACUUAGAGUCCUAAUUCAAGAAGAAUGUUAGAACAUAGGGUAGAUGAGGAGGCCAGAAGAAAGCCAUACUACGAUUGGGUGUCAGUCUUCUCUUGUCCUGACUUGGACAUCUUUCACUGUUUCAAUCUCUUAUUUGCUAAAUCAAAACUAUACUGCUGAACAAGAGAUAAAACACCUAGACUUUAUUUAGCCCUUGACUGAGAUGUGAUAUGACUUCAAGGCCAUUCUAUGUUAAAAUAUGGUGGUUAAUUAUUGUUCAUCUCCAGAGAAAUGGGUAAAUCCUGAGAUGACAGAAACUCUAAGGCAAUGAAAAGGAUGUAGGAUAGAGCCAAGGAAUUUUUUUAAAAUUUGAAGUUCAGGAAAAGUUAUGAAAUCUCCUAAUCCAGGGAUAUUUAGGAAGAGGGCAGAGUCCAUUUCCCUAAGAUUGGGGAGUAAAGGGGAAUUCUGUGUGAAUAAUGGUAACCACUUAGCCUUCUUUGUGUUUCAAUGAGAAUAGCCAGACCACACGUCAAGGAAAAGUGUAAUAAGUCCUGCCUUGGAGUUCAUAGAGCAGGGGUCUCUUCUUACAGAAGAGUCCCAUCCAAGCAAAACUAUUACUAGGGCCUUUUAGAAACUCAUGGUGAAGGCUGAUCUUUGACUCCUGUGAAACUUUUUUUGAAUUCAUGUGUGUUAAGGCCAAAGAUUUGACAGGCACUUUACCUCCUUGACAAUGGUGCUUUAAUAUUGAGGAGACGUUCAAACCUAGUUACACAAUACGUGUUGUCUCCACCAAACAGCGUUAAAAACAACAACAAAAACACCUACCAUAAACUGGGCAGAAUCAAGGGUUUUCCAUUGCUUCAGGCAGAGGCAGAUUGUAUCUUUAUUCACAAUGCCUUUCCUUAGUUUCACCAGGGAUAUUAGUCAUUUCAAAACCUGAGGGACAUUCCCCUGCUUCUUUCUGGAGCCAGAUUUGUUUCCCAUCUUCAUGCAGGCUGAACAUCCAGGCUUUCUCUACAGAACAUUUGGGAGGGGGUAGGGAGGGGUGGGGAAACAUUUGCCGUGGCUUUUGCUGAACCACAGUAGUAACAGCUACUCGAGAAAGGGAGAAAAUUCAGGUUUUCUUUGAGAUUCCCAGGACAGAGAUGGCGGUAAUGAGGUGUGACCUACACAGCCAGAUUUUCCACUUGGCCCUAGAUUUGGUAGUGAUUUUUCAUCUGGGUUGGGGUAAGAGUAUUAAGGGCCAGAGGCAGUGACAUGCAGCCAUAAAGGGUGGGGUGGGUGGGGGGACACUGGGACUAGGAGGUUUGAGAACUCUGGGCAGUAUCUUUGAAGGUGAAGAGGCCUCCCAAACCCUUCAGGGCCUCCUGGAACUGAGGACAGGAAACAGGACAGCAGAUUUCAAUGGAGAGCCUCUAGAGGAGAGAGAUGCCAGCCCAGUGGAGAGACCCGCUCUUGCCCUGCCCCCCCAUGGGAUUCAAGAGGGACGGGAUGACAAUCUUCUCUGUCUUGGCACUACUCCUGGUGCUCUGCACGUCUCUACUUUUGUCCCCUAAUGUAGUGUCAAGUGGAUGUGUUAGGCAAGGAUCAGAGUGUUCCAGCAACUUGCCUGAGGUCACACAGUGAGCACGUGAACAUACUUGGAUGAAAAUCUGACUCAAGAAUCUUUCCAGGCUCCACUGUUCCUUCUGUGAAUAAUGUUUAUCUCUGUUUCUCCCUUUCCCCUAAGUUUUACACAGAGAGACUAUCUCCCAGAAUGAGAAACAUUUUGGAUGUUAUUUGAUUUACCGACACAGGCAUUUUGUGAUCUCACAGAACAUUCUGGUGGCUGCUCAGAGCUACAAAGGAAGCAGCUGCCACUUUCUUUGCACCAGGAGCUGGCUUGGUGAUCUCCUUCUGUCAUGGAAAGUCCCUUCCCCAGAUAGACUCUGGUUUUCCACUGGCUUCUCCUGCUGCUAAAAUAAAAUCAGGCUAAUCCCUCAACCAUCCAACGUCAACAGGUGGACUUGCCUCUCCAGCAUUCGUCAGAGGUGUGAAGAGGUCAUUUUUUUAUGCGCACAGCUUUGCUCCCCUGGCUGCCACAUCUCGGUCCUGCUCCAGCUGACCUACUCCUAUUACCUCUGUGCCUCGUCUGCCAAAAACCUCUUCACAGUGGCUGUUUUCUCCGGUUACCCUCUGGCUGAACUUGGCUUUCAGAUUAAUCUUCCCUUCUCUUUAAAGAGCGAAGUCCACGAGCACAGACAAAAGUUGCGUGGGCAUUGUUCUACACAGGGACAAGGGACCAUUCAGCUGGGAGGCUGCCCCCCUCCACCCCAGCAUUCCUAUCAACCACGGAUGCAGUCGGACAACUUUCUCAUGUCCUCCAGCCAUGACAUUCGUACUGUAGACAGAAGUAGCAACAACUACAUUUAGAAUUGAUAGUUGUAGGAGCAGGCUUGGUCUGGGUUUUUAGUCCUGCUGCAGAGAAGGGAACUGACCACAGUGUGUGAGUUUACAGCAUAAUAUAGACAUGGUGGGAAUAAACGGUCAAGAACACCGCAGCACAACACAGUUCAGAGCCCCCUCCCCAUUCCCACAGAUACAUUUCCAAACAAGCUGCUGGACCAGGUAACGCAUCUCACAAUUUAUUCACUUUGGGCCACAGGGCCACUUGAACAGACUUUGUCCACAUUUCCUUAGUGCACCUUUUUUUUUUUUUUUUGAUUGAAGCCAUCAGUGCAUUAAAAUAAAAGAAUUAGGUCAAAUGAGCCAUUAUUAAAUGGAUUCGAAAUUUGUUUUAGAUGUUAGACUAUCACAACUAUUUUUAUAGGUGGCCUUUAUAUAGCCUAUGGAAGCCAACAGUUUUUAAGGAAGGAAGAAUAGUAGAAAAGCAAUGAUAGGUUUGGGAACAUUUUAGAAAAGAAAAUCACAAAAAGUUUCAUUAAAAGCAUCUUUGUGUUUUUAAAAUCCGGGAAAGUUUGCUAUUGAAACUUCUGCAAUGUGACUUUGAACAUUAUACAAAUAUUUUAGAGACAGAGUAAUACUUUUUUAAACAAAAAGGACGCCUGAUCCAUUUCCCUAAUGAACGAUCAGGAAAGCAGAGGUGACAGGUGACUUCAACUUCACAGGCAAAUAUAUAUAGGGUGCACAUUCAUAUGUCUCUUUUCUGAUUACAUCUUCCUCCAGGUACCACGGGUGCGUGGUCCAAAUGGGGCGUGGCAGGGGCAGAGAUGUCAGACGGUGGCAGUGAAGUGGGCUUUGCAGCACCUUACUGGCGAGAGAAUGAGAAUCCGGUGCAACCAAGAAGCAAUCCUCAAUCAGCUUGCUCUCUGCAACUCAAGAGGAUGAGUAAAAUGUGUUCAUCCUGAGAGUUACUUCUAGAGAACUUCAGAGAGAAAAUCUGGAGGCCCUAACCUGCCUCAAGUGACAGGUGACAUGGGCACAGAAUCGAGCUGUUAGAAUUGGACGCUCGAGGAGGCAAUUUCAGCUUUGCUGCAUGUGCUCUAGGCACCCACUUCCUUAGGGUGAGGUCUGUUUGCAGGAGGCUGAUGUCACCAGUCUCUUAGCCCUGUCGGUCAUUUCUCUCACUCCUUCUGCUGCUAGAAGAGUUUUUGGAGCUGGUGAGAGAACGCCGGGGCCUAACCCAGGAAAGUAGAGCCUGAGUUGUGGGGUCAACACACAGUGGUGGCAUGAAGACACUAACAAGUAGGUGAGCACCCAAGCCGUGGUCCUGGGAACAGUUACCUGUUAGGAUGAGUGCGUGACAAAGCCCAAUCCAGAGCCCUUCUAAUGGGGUCAGGAACCUGGGGGACGCAUACAGAGUUCCUUCCAAGGAGGUGACUAGCUGGUCCUACUAAGCCCUAGGGCGUGGGUUCAGCCCUCCACCAGACUCUGAGGAGCUGUAUCACCCCUGGACUCUGGAGAAGCGAGCUGGUGCUCUGGGAUGUGUCAAGCAGCAGAUAUCGUGGGGGUGCGAAGGGGGCCCAUCUAAAAAGUGUCUGGGCAGGAGAUCUGAGCUGCUGGCCUCUCCGGGCCUGAAGGCAGCUGGACAGAAGAGGGCAGCAUCACUCUGUCCUUGCCGUCGAGUCUCAGAGGAGGGCGGGAGGGGUCCUAAGACAGAGUUGACUUGGAUGCAGCUUGCGUCCACGUUUAGCUCAGGGCUGCAAACACAAGGGGAUGGGUGUCUCUAGACUCUUCAGGGAUUGCCUCUGUCCAGACCCGUGGCUUCCCCUCCGCCUCCCUUCUUGCAGGUUUGAAUCUCCCUCCUGCCCCUGUCCUCCCUGUGUGAGCGCACACCAAGUUGACCUGACGAGGUGAGUGGAGCAUUUGGCAGUGGUGACUUUGCUGCGGUCCCUGUAUUUUCAUGAAACAGCACCGAGAUCGAUUGCUCCCCCUCCCUUUCUUAGUGCUGGAGGCUCAGAAGACAGGGAUCUGGUCCCUCCGAACCACGUCCAGGUCAUCAUCCAGGGUUAACAAAACCUGGAAUGGGAGGGGUGGAGGAAUGAAAGCAGUGCACGGUCACAGCCACAGUAAGCCCAGCUUCCUCUCUGAGACUCACCUGGGUUGACAGCACAAGCGCCUUCCUGUCCUCUGUGGCUGUCUGCAGUGCUGUGCUCUACAUGGGCAAUUAUGAUCACCUAGUUCAUCUAUUAAUUCCGAUGUGUACCAAGGGCCUAUUAUGUGCUAUUCUAGAUGCCAGAGACAAAACUCCCUACCUUCCUGGAGCUUACAUUUGAGAGAGCUUCAGACAUGAAGCAAAUGGGGACAAUACAGCAUGUUAGUGAUGUGUGCAAAGUCCAGUGUACUAGAUAAUAAUAUGUAAUGAAAUAGUAACAAAAAUUAAACUAUGGAGGGAGUAUAGGAAGUAUGGGGUAGGGAAAGGUUGAAAAAAAGUGCUGAUGGGGUGGCCAGGGAAGUCAUUACUUAAAAGGGGACAUGUGGCCCAAGAUCUAGAGGAAAGGAAAUCUUGUUGCAUAGAGUAUUGCUAUACAAGCAAUGUAUACUCCGCCUCCAUUUUCAGUUCCCUCUGCCACCACUCUCUUCACAUGGAAACUUUCACUCCACUUUUGUGGUCUCUGUCUCUCUCAUGAAGGUGUUGUUCAUCAAAACUACACGUCACGAGGAGUGAGGUUUAUGCAGAUUGUUGAACUUCCCCAGCUGGCCACGAGGGGGCAGCCCCGCUCCACUCUCGAGGCCGUGUGGAGGCAGAGCCCGCUCACCGUGAGCAGUGCUGGGAGCACAGGUCUCCCAGUGUUGUUGCUUGCUACCUGUGCACAGGCACAGCGGACUUUUAAUUUGGAAAAGUCUAAAUUAGGAUGAAAGGAAGCCAGCAGUGAUCAUCCAUUGGUAGAGUAUGCAUAGCUUCUGGAAAGGUGUUUGGGCCACAAGAAAUGGAAGGAUUACAGGAGAGAUCUGGGACAGACUGGUUAGAAGCAAGAGACCUGGCUGCUAUCCCCAGCCGCUCCAGAAACUUGUAAAAUAUUUGUGGGAUAUUCAGUGAGACUGGAAGAGGAGGAGGAAUGUGAGCACAAGAAGGAAGAAUCUAAUGUUACUGAAAUUUGAAUGAGUGCCAGAAGUGAUUCCUGGGGCGAUUCUGGGCAUGUGAGUUCUAAUAACUGAUUCAGUCCAAAUGUUGUGCCAUUUAAGGAAAAUCAUUUUGUUAACUCUGUAUCUUGAAAUAUUGGAGAGUAAAAGGAAAAUGAAAAUAAAGAUCUAACUGAAGGAUAUAAUGUGAAAAAAGAUAUAAAAGAAUCUGUAUAUUAAAUUAUAAUGAGGAAUUAGAAAGAGAAGUUAGAAAUACAAAAAAGUAAGGAACGCAGGGGAAGAAAGUACAGGAUGUGAAGAGAGAAGAAAUUGACAGACAGGUAUUAUAAACUCACCAAGAAUGAGAAAAACAGGGCUGUGGCAGAGAGGAAGUGCCAGAUGUCAUGGUCAUCAAAGAAAUCGAGCAGGAUACACUCCCGGUUCUUCUCCCGGGAUUCGGCUGGGGUUCCCUGGAGGAAGGUGAGGCAGAAUGUGGGUGAGCACUCCUACAGUUCAACUGUUUAGAGGGCUGAGCGUCCAGAAAGCCACAAAAAUGCUAUUGGAUGCCCGGCUCAAAAAGUUAGCUUCCAAGAAAACAUUAGUCCACACGAAAACUUGUACACAAUGUUCACAGCGGCCACACUCAUAAGAGCCAAAGAGUGGAAACCAUCUAAAUGUCCCUCAACUGAUGAUAGGUAAAAUGUGCUGCAUGCAUAUGAUAGAAAAUUAUUCAGCAAUUAAAAAGACAUGAAGUACCAAUAUAUGCUACCACAUGGAUGAAUGGAUAAGCUAGACUUCAAGAUCACAUAUGGUAUGAUUCCAUGUGUAUGAAAUGUCCAGAACAGGCAGAUCUAUAGAGACCAAAGAUAGAUUAGUGGUUGCCUAUGGCUGGUGGUUUAGGGAGAAACGGAGAGCGACUCCUAGUGGGCAGGCUUUCUUUCUGGAGUGAUAACAAAUGUUCUAAAAUUGAUUGUGAUGGAGAGCUGAGGCUUCCUUUCUGCUACUCAAUGUAUCACUUAUUUCCUAGGCCUCAGUUUUCCCAUCUAUGCAAUGGGUUUAUAAACACCUGCAGCUGGGUAUUUGUUUAUGGAUAGGAUUAUGAGAAGAUACAGUAAUGAAGGUUUGGCACACGUUAAAUAUCCAUGGGCAAGAGAGUCAUAAUACAACACGUAAUGAGCAUCCAAUCUGCCCUGUUUGGAGGGCUCACACCUUGACGAGGCCUACUCUGACAAUGACGACAGCAUGCCAUUUAUGUGUGGACAUUAAACACCAUCCCUUUUAGAGAAAGCUUUCAUUUCAAAGACAAACAGCAACAAGCACACGGAGAGGGAAGUAGGAAUAUCAAACAGGCAAGAGGGAGGGAGAACAUUUCCUCUGAAAAGAAAACUGCCCUCUUACCUCCCAGCUGCUGAGAUUCUGGAAGAAAAAGUACAGAGCGGAGGCCCACACCACAGCCGUGGCCACGAUGCAGAAGAGCGGGAUGGGGAGGAGCUUCUCCGAGCUGCGGAGCUGUGGAUGGAAAGCAGAUGCAGCUCGCGGCCUUUUCGGACCCAGGGCGGGCGGCUCCCGGUGCCCACUCUCACCUUCAUGAUGAUGUAAAAGGCCAGUGUCCAUGGGAAACUGAGGAUGGAGAAAAAAAGAGGAAGCCAACCCUCCACCAGGUUCCCAUAGUGCCGGUGUGUUGUCACACCCCAUUCAUCCCUAUAGACCUUGCUGCCCAAAGAGCGCCUGUGUAAGAAAAGAGAGGCCAUUUACCUUGUCUUGUGAGCAGAUUGUGGGUUUGGUUUUGGUCAUGGGAGGGGUGGGGACAAGCCAGGUGUUUGUGAGCACUGGGGACAUAGUUAUCAGGUGCUCAUUACCAAGGGGCUGGUCCCUUUUCUCCCACGAGCACCCUGCACCCUAUCUUACAGAGUCAUUAGGACUGUGGGGUCCUCCCUAAAAGAGAGGUCAAGAAGAGUGCCACAGGUGACCACUGCCAAGAAUCACCCAUCUCGACGUGUCUCUACAUCAAGGAGGGGUCUUUCACAGGCAUGGCGCUUACCCCGAGGGGCAGCAUCAAUUAUGGGGAAACAAUUGCCUGGUGAAAAGAGUUUCCAUGGUUCUAAGAGAGCUGUGCCUGCAGGCGGACACUAAUCUCCUAUGGGAAGAAAUGGCGAGGCCUCGGUCUGUGAACGGAUGUGACUUUGUGUCUGUUAAAGAAAACACGGUGAGUAAAGCAGGACUCUUACUGCUUCCCCCACCAAUGUGUAGGGUAGCUGGGCACCGCGGCCCCACUUCUUGAGGAAGUUGGUGGUGUGUGCAGAUUACUCGGUAGUGAAAAGAAUUCUGCCGUUGCUGUAAUAUAAUCCAGCACUGUUUCCCUGCGCCGUUACUUAGCGAGCCACAAGGCAGCUCUUGGGCCUCACCCGUUUGGCUCCCGUUUCCUCUCCAUUACUCUGACUCCAAGGAGGUCCUGCAACGCUCAGGCUCCCGGUCUCUAAACACACAGCCUUAACACUAAAGAUAUUGGUGGUGGGUGAACUAGGAGAGGUCCAUCUCAAAGGAAAGUUCCUCUGAUAGAGAUUAAUUCACAACCUGGCCCUGCUUCUUUGCAUACAGUGUAAAACUUUUAGGUGGCAUCUGAUUGUACUUUAAUUUGCAUGUCC